AUACGUAGGUGGCAAGCGUUGUCCGGAAUUAUCGGGCGUAGAGGGCUCGCAGGCGGUUUCUUAAGUCUGAUGUGAAAGCCCCCGGCUCAACCGGGGAGGGUCAUUGGAAACUGGGGAACUUGAGUGCAGAAGAGGAGAGUGGAAUUCCACGUGUAGCGGUGAAAUGCGUAGAGAUGUGGAGGAACACCAGUGGCGAAGGCGACUCUCUGGUCUGUAACUGACGCUGAGGAGCGAAAGCGUGGGGAGCGAACAGGAUUAGAUACCCUGGUAGUCCACGCCGUAAACGAUGAGUGCUAAGUGUUAGGGGGUUUCCGCCCCUUAGUGCUGCAGCUAACGCAUUAAGCACUCCGCCUGGGGAGUACGGUCGCAAGACUGAA
rnacentral:rRNA from 1 species